UGAAGAGUUUGAUCAUGGCUCAGAUUGAACGCUGGCGGCAGGCCUAACACAUGCAAGUCGAACGGUAACAGGAAGCAGCUUGCUGCUUCGCUGACGAGUGGCGGACGGGUGAGUAAUGUCUGGGAAACUGCCUGAUGGAGGGGGAUAACUACUGGAAACGGUGGCUAAUACCGCAUAACGUCGCAAGACCAAAGAGGGGGACCUUCGGGCCUCUUGCCAUCAGAUGUGCCCAGAUGGGAUUAGCUUGUUGGUGAGGUAACGGCUCACCAAGGCGACGAUCCCUAGCUGGUCUGAGAGGAUGACCAGCCACACUGGAACUGAGACACGGUCCAGACUCCUACGGGAGGCAGCAGUGGGGAAUAUUGCACAAUGGGCGCAAGCCUGAUGCAGCCAUGCCGCGUGUAUGAAGAAGGCCUUCGGGUUGUAAAGUACUU
rnacentral:rRNA from 7 species